UUUUUUUUUUUUUUUUUUUUUUGACAGAGUCUUGCUCUGUCACCCAGGCUGGAGUGCAGUGGCGUGAUCUCGGCUCACUGUAACCUUCGCCUCCCAGGUUGAAGCUAAUCUCCUGCCUCAGCCUCCCGAGUAGCUGGGGUUACAGGUGUGCACCACCACGCUCAGCUGAUUUUGUGUUUUUAGUAGAGAUGGGGUUUUGCCAUGUUGGCCAGGCUGGUCACAAACUUCUGACCUCAAAUCAUCCACCUGCCUCAGCCUCCCACAGUACUGGGAUGACAGGCGUGAGCCACCGAGCCCAGCUGAAGCUCAACUUCUCGUCAGGGCACAGCUCUAUGGACAAGUCAUUAAGAUCCACAGAAGGUGAUGUUCACGCAGUGGAUAGCACAUAAUGUUCAUCAUGUCUAACCGUGAAGGAUUAUUUCAUAUAUGAAGAAAUGAUUCAACUGGGUUUGAGAAGAGUGAAGUCUGUCAAGCAGGGAAGGAGAUAAAGUCAGAGAAUAAUCUAAACAGAGGCAGGAAAAUGUGGAGGCACAUUCUGGAAUGACAUUGUCCCUGUCAGGGGAAGAGGGUGUUUAAAGGGUGUCUGGGAAAAGUGAGUGGAAAAUAAAGCUGGAAAGGGAAACUGGCCAGAGAAUGGAAAGUUGGGAAUGUCAUUGUGUGGGCAAAUGUGCUUCGUUGGUAACAGAAAGUCAUCUGUAGCUUUGGAACAAUGGUGCUACGUGUCCACACAUGUCUUUAAAAAGCAAACACUUAAAGGCAAGGGGAGGAAGGAAUAGGAGCUGAGGAGGGAAAAGCUCAGAAAGGAAACCAAGUUGAAAUAUCCAUGCAGUGGUAGCGUGAGAAGGAUUCUAAGGAAAUGGUGUGAGGACAGGGAUGCAGGGCUGAGGAUUAGAGACUUCUUAGAGGGAGGGCGACCUUGGGAGACAGACUGGGUUUGAAGUCCAGGUCUGACACUUGGUGCCUGUGGAACAAGGACAAGUCACAAAUCUCCACUUCUUCUAUAAAAUAGACACUGUGUUCAGUAUUGUUAUAGGGACCCUGUCAUGACUAGACAGGGUAAAAGAUGUCCAGGCAUCACUGAGUAUUGCAUAGGGACCCUGUCAUGACUAAACGAGGUGUAGUGUCCAGGCAUUUCUGGCAUGCACAGAAGUGGGAGAAGCCCAGAACUGAAAGACCAGGGAGUAGGAGUCCCUCGCAGGCACGCGGGGGAGUCACCUGAAACCUGGAUGGAGAGGUCACCAAGAGCCAGGUCCGUUUCCUGCACUUUUCUGUCCCUGGGGUUUAGCGGAUGUCCUAAACCCUGUCAUCAGCUCCACAGUGACGUAUAAAUGAGUUACGGUAACCAGAAGUAUCCGAUGCCAAGAAGCAGAAGCCGUGUGUGGGAGUUAUGAUGGGAAGGGAAGGGAAAACUGGAACUGAGGUGAGUUAAGGACCAGUUUGCAAGCGUUUGGCAGUGGUUGAAACGUGUCUCUAAGCCAGGGACCGGGUACUUGCAGAUCCCAGGCAGGGAAGGUGGUAUUUGCAGAUGACAGGAUUGCCUACUUAGGAAACACACACACACACACAACAUCACCUAACAAUGUUAUAAAUUGUGAAAUAAUUCAGUCAGGUAAAAAGUACAACAUCAACAUCAGUACAGUUCCAUAAAUAAUCAACUACCGAUGAAUACAAUGAGGAAAAGUUAACAUGAUACAACAGGAGGCAUGAUGGUAUCUUUAGAACCUGGCUGAAAGCUUCAAGUGGAAAUUUUUCUGCAUUAAAAGUUAAAAACUUCAAAGAGUUAAAACACUCUGAGGGGCUCCCGUGACGGCUGACUAGAGGCAUCUUCAACUUGCCUUCUCCACAAAGAACAAAAGUCGUCAUUAGACAACCA
ensembl:lncRNA